UACGUAGGUGGCAAGCGUUGUCCGGAUUUAUUGGGUUUAAAGGGUGCGUAGGUGGCCCUGUAAGUCAGUGGUGAAAUAUCUCAGCUUAACUGAGAGGGUGUCAUUGAUACUGCAGGGCUUGAGUACAGAUGAGGUAGGCGGAAUUGACGGUGUAGCGGUGAAAUGCAUAGAUAUCGUCAAGAACACCGAUAGCGAAGGCAGCUUACCAAGCUGUAACUGACACUGAGGCACGAAAGUGUGGGGAUCAAACAGG
rnacentral:rRNA from 1 species